GUAGGUGGCAAGCGUUGUCCGGAAUUAUUGGGCGUAAAGCGCGCGCAGGCGGUUCUUUAAGUCUGAUGUGAAAGCCCACGGCUCAACCGUGGAGGGUCAUUGGAAACUGGAGAACUUGAGUACAGAAGGGGAAAGCGGAAUUCCACGUGUAGCGGUGAAAUGCGUAGAGAUGUGGAGGAACACCAGAGGCGAAGGCGGCUUUCUGGUCUGUAACUGACGCUGAGGCGCGAAAGCGUGGGGAGCAAACAGGGAUUAGAUACCCUGGUAGUCCACGCCGUAAACGAUGAGUGCUAAGUGUUAGGGGGUUUCCCGCCCCUUAGUGCUGCAGCUAACGCAUUAAGCACUCCGCCUGGGGAGUACGGCCGCAAGGCUG
rnacentral:rRNA from 1 species